rnacentral:tRNA from 1 species
GCCCCCGUAGCUUAAUGGAUAAAGCAGGAACCUUCUAAGUUCAAGAGUGCAGGUUCGACUCCUGCCGGGGGCA